ACUGGCCCCCUGUUUAAAAAGUUUGAGAACCCCGUCACUAGAGUAUGGCCGACCUGCUGCUGGAGCCCCAGGCCGGAGGCCACCAGGGUGCUUGGGGCCAGGACCAUUUCUCCCUAACUGUCCUGGCAGAUCUUCCCCUCCCCUUCCCCCC